rnacentral:rRNA from 1 species
AUUGAACGCUGGCGGCAGGCCUAACACAUGCAAGUCGAGCGGAUGAAGGGAGCUUGCUCCUGGAUUCAGCGGCGGACGGGUGAGUAAUGCCUAGGAAUCUGCCUGUUAGUGUGGGAUAACGUCCGGAAACGGGCGCUAAUACCGCAUACGUCCUGAGGGAGAAAGUGUGGGAGCUUCGGACCUCACGCUAUCAGAUGAGCCUAGGUCGGAUUAGCUAGUUGGUGGGGUAAAGGCCUACCAAGGCGACGAUCCGUAACUGGUCUGAGAGGAUGAUCAGUCACACUGGAACUGAGACACGGUCCAGACUCCUACGGGAGGCAGCAGUGGGGAAUAUUGGACAAUGGGCGAAAGCCUGAUCCAGCCAUGCCGCGUGUGUGAAGAAGGUCUUCGGAUUGUAAAGCACUUUAAGUUGGGAGGAAGGGCAGUAAGUUAAUACCUCGCUGUUUUGACGUUACCAACAGAAUAAGCACCGGCUAACUUCGUG